rnacentral:rRNA from 1 species
UGGGGAAUUUUGGACAAUGGGCGCAAGCCUGAUCCAGCCAUGCCGCGUGCGGGAAGAAGGCCUUCGGGUUGUAAACCGCUUUUGUCAGGGAAGAAACGGUCUGUGCUAAUACCGCAGACUAAUGACGGUACCUGGAGAAUAAGCACCGGCUAACUACGUGCCAGCAGCCGCGGUAAUACGUAGGGUGCAAGCGUUAAUCGGAAUUACUGGGCGUAAAGCGUGCGCAGGCGGCCAUGCAAGACAGAUGUGAAAUCCCCGGGCUCAACCUGGGAACUGCAUUUGUGACUGCAUGGCUAGAGUACGGUAGAGGGGGAUGGAAUUCCGCGUGUAGCAGUGAAAUGCGUAGAUAUGCGGAGGAACACCGAUGGCGAAGGCAAUCCCCUGGACCUGUACUGACGCUCAUGCACGAAAGCGUGGGGAGCAAACAGGAUUAGAUACCCUGGUAGUCCACGCCCUAAACGAUGUCAACUGGUUGUUGGGAGGG